ACUCGGGCACGAUCCGCCUUAGCGUUUACCGCUGUGAGCAGGUGGAACCGACCCGAAGUUUCAACCCUGAGGGA
rnacentral:ncRNA from 1 species